rnacentral:rRNA from 1 species
UACGUAGGGUGCAAGCGUUAAUCGGAAUUACUGGGCGUAAAGCGUGCGCAGGCGGUGAUGUAAGUCAGAUGUGAAAUCCCCGGGCUCAACCUGGGAACUGCAUUUGUGACUGCAUCGCUAGAGUACGGUAGAGGGGGAUGGAACUCCGCGUGUAGCAGUGAAAUGCGUAGAUAUGCGGAGGAACACCGAUGGCGAAGGCAAUCCCCUGGACCUGUACUGACGCUCAUGCACGAAAGCGUGGGGAGCAAACAGG